GGAAAUAAGCUCAGUGGUAGAGCUCAUGCUUAGUUUGCAUGAGGUCCUGGGUUCAAUCCUCAGUAUCUCCA
rnacentral:tRNA from 1 species